CCUACGGGAGGCUGCAGUGGGGAAUUUUGCACAAUGGGGGCAACCCUGAUCCAGCAACGCCGCGUGAAGGAAGACGGUUUUCGGAUUGUAAACUUCUGUUCUUGUUAACGAAUAGUGACUGUAGCUAAGGAGCAAGCCACGGCUAACUACGUGCCAUCAGCCGCGGUAAUACGUAGGUGGCCAGCGUUGUCCGGAAUUACUGGGUGUAAAGGGAGCGCAGGCGGGGAGCCAAGUUAGCUGUGAAAACUACGGGCUUAACUUGUAGACUGCAGUUGAGACUGGUUUUCUUGAGUGAAGCAGAGGUGGGCGGAAUUCCGAGUGUAGCGGUGAAAUGCGUAGAGAUUCGGAGGAACACCGGUGGCGAAGGCGGCCAACUGGGAUGUAACUGACGCUGAGGCUCGAAAGUGUGGGGAGCAAACAGGAUUAGAUACCCGAGUAGUC
rnacentral:rRNA from 1 species